rnacentral:rRNA from 1 species
UACGUAGGUGACAAGCGUUGUCCGGAUUUACUGGGCGUAAAGAGCGCGCAGGCGGUCGUUCAAGUCGAGUGUGAAAGCCCCCGGCUCAACUGGGGAGGGUCACUCGAUACUGAUCGACUCGAAGGCAGGAGAGGGAUGCAGAAUUCCAGGUGUAGCGGUGAAAUGCGUAGAUAUCUGGAGGAAUACCGGUGGCGAAGGCGGCAUCCUGGACCGGCAUUGACGCUGAAGCGCGAAAGCUAGGGGAGCAAACAGG